rnacentral:rRNA from 1 species
AUUGAACGCUGGCGGCAGGCCUAACACAUGCAAGUCGAACGGUAACAGGAAGAAGCUUGCUUCUUUGCUGACGAGUGGCGGACGGGUGAGUAAUGUCUGGGAAACUGCCUGAUGGAGGGGGAUAACUACUGGAAACGGUAGCUAAUACCGCAUAACGUCGCAAGACCAAAAAGGGGGACCUUCGGGCCUCUUGCCAUCGGAUGUGCCCAGAUGGGUUUAGCUAGUAGGUGGGGUAACGGCUCACCUAGGCGACGAUCCCUAGCUGGUCUGAGAGGAUGACCGGCCAACUGGGAAGUGAGAAACGGCCCGGACACCUAGGGAAGGCAGCGGGGGGAAUAAUGGAACAAGGGGGGGAAGCCGGAUGAAGCCAGGCGGCGUGUAUGAAGAAGGCUUCCGGGUGGUAAAUUACUUUCGGCGGGGGGAAGGGAGUAAAGUUAAUACCUUUGCUCAUUGACGUUACCCGCAGAAGAAGCACCGGCUAACUCCGUG